rnacentral:rRNA from 1 species
AGCAGUAGCCACGGUAAUACGAAGGGGGCUAGCGUUGUUCGGAAUUACUGGGCGUAAAGCGCACGUAGGCGGAUAUUUAAGUCAGGGGUGAAGUCCCAGAGCUCAACUCUGGAACUGCCUUCGAUACUGGGUAUCUUGAGUAUGGAAGAGGUGAGUGGAAUUCCGAGUGUAGAGGUGAAAUUCGUAGAUAUUCGGAGGAACACCAGUGGCGAAGGCGGCUCACUGGUCCAUUACUGACGCUGAGGUGCGAAAGCGUGGGGAGCAAACAGGAUUAGAUACCCGAGUAGUCCCUGUCUCUUAUAA